GCAUGGUGUAAUGGUUAUCAAAUCCGCUUUAAAAGCGGAAGGUACCAGGUUCGAAACCUGGUGGGAACA